AUGUGGGGCCUGAGCAGUGUGUACCCCUCCCUGCACUGGGUAAGACUUUCUUCUAUUUGGGGUCCCAGGCCCUCUCCUGGGAGCCUGACUCUGAGCCCCGGGCGAUCCAGACCUCGGUCCGUCCCUCCGAGGGCCAAGAUCCGGGCCCAUCUGCCAGGAUGCUCUGUCUUUGAGGGGGAAGGCCGGUGCGCAGCUCUCCGGGCCCCACGCAGGCAGGUCGGCCCGCGGCAAUGCCCCUCCGGACUUCUCGUCCAGCAGAGCCGGGCCAGGCUCAGUCCUCCCAUCCCUGAGUCACAGAAGAGAACACCAGGCGCAGGGAAGGAAAGUGACCUACGCGAGGGUCACACCGCGAGUCUCAGCAGCCACAGGAUGGGAGCCCAGGCCUCCACACAUCCCGUCACGGGGCCCCGGGCACCGUGGGUGGCCUGCCCAAGGCGUCCCCACAGCUUCGGCCCCGUGCUUGGACCACGCUGGCCUCCCCGCGGGCCCCUACAGACAGCUGGCGUGCAGUGCGCCCGGCUUGCCCCCGGCUGUGGGCUCUCGGGGCAGGAACUGCCUCUGCUUGCUGGCCGUGCCGCUGGGCGGCCGCUCCUGCCCGCCGGUGCCAGGCCGUGCGAUGAGGCUGACCCGGCCGUUCAUCUCCUUCCCCUGCCCCCGCCCCCCUGCCGCCUCCUCACCGUCCUCCUCCCCCUCGUCCUCCCCGGUCUUCUCCGGAGGAGGCCCGGCAGAAGGCUCCUGACUGCGCACGCGGCGGGAAGGCCGCAGCAGGACCCUGCGGAAGCCCUGCUUGAAGCGGUAGGAGAGGAAGCCGUAGAGGAUGGGGUUGGCACAGCUGUUGGCAUAGGGCAGCGCCACCACCAGGAAAUAGAGGCCGAAGAAGGCGGGCUCCUCGGGCAGCGGGCGCACCACGUUGACGAUGUUGAGCACGUAGAAGGGCAUCCAGCAGAGGACGAAGAGCGCCACGACGGCCACCACCAUGCGCGUGACCCUGCGCUCCGAGUGCCGCCGCCGCUGGCACGAGGGCGCCCGCACCCGCCGCCCGGCCGAGCGCACCUUGACCACGAUGAGCAGGUAGCAGAGGCAGAUGACCAGCAGCGGCCCGAAGAAGCCGAGCGCGGCCGUGUAGAUGAUGAAGCCCGCGCGCCAGGCGGCCGCCGGCUCGGGCCACUGCAUGUGGCAGGUGCUCAUGCCGUGGGGCACACCCGAGAAGACCACCACGGGCAGCACCACCACGGCCGAGGCCACCCAGACGGCCACGCUCACCGUGCGGGCCACGGGCGCCGUGCGCCAGCGGGCGGAGCAGGCGGGACGGACCACGGCGAGGUAGCGAUCCACGCUCAUGACCGUGAGGCAGAAGAUGCUGGUGAACUGGUUGAUGGCGUCCACGGCCAUGACCAGGCGGCACAUGAGGGAGCCGAAGGGCCAGUAGGACAGGGCGUUCUGGGCCGCCAGGAAGGGCAGCCCCAGCAUGAAGAGCUCGUCGGCCAGCGCCAGGUUGAGGAUGUAGACGUUGGUGACCGACGGGCUGGCCGUGUGCCGCAGGACCACGUAGAUGACCAGCGAGUUGCCCAGCAGGCCCACCACGCACACCACCAGGUAGACCAGAGGGAUCAGGACACCGCUGACGGCCAGCCCCGCCACGCUCGGGGCCGCGGACACAUUCCCCAGGGCGACAUCCGGGGGCCAGGCCGAGGAGGCGUUCCCAGGCUCCCAGGCGGUGGGGGCCGAUGA
rnacentral:lncRNA from 1 species